CCGAUAACGAACGAGACCUUGGCCUGCUAACUAGGGCAAGCUGCUUCGGAAAAGGGGCAGCUGGAGGGGCCCUUCUUAGAGGGACUAUCUGUGUGUUUAACGGAUGGAAGCAAGGCAAUAACAGGUCUGUGAUGCCCUUGGAUGUUCUGGGCCGCACGCGCGCUACACUGAUAAAGGCAGCGAGUUUACCUGAUAACACGGGUGGUUCUUGGCCGGAAGGCCUGGAGAAGCUUGCUCAACUUUAUCGUGCUGGGGAUUGACCCUUGCAAUUAUGGGUCAUGAACGAGGAAUUCCUAGUAAGUGCGAGUCAUCAGCUUGCGCUGAUUACGUCCCUGUCCUUUGUACACACCGCCCGUCGAUAUUACCGAUUGAAUGGGUG
rnacentral:rRNA from 1 species